AGUGAACGCUGGCGGUAGGCCUAACACAUGCAAGUCGAACGGCAGCACAGUAAGAGCUUGCUCUUACGGGUGGCGAGUGGCGGACGGGUGAGGAAUACAUCGGAAUCUACUUUUUCGUGGGGGAUAACGUAGGGAAACUUACGCUAAUACCGCAUACGACCUACGGGUGAAAGCAGGGGAUCUUCGGACCUUGCGCGAUUGAAUGAGCCGAUGUCGGAUUAGCUAGUUGGCGGGGUAAGGGCCCACCAAGGCGACGAUCCGUAGCUGGUCUGAGAGGAUGAUCAGCCACACUGGAACUGAGACACGGUCCAGGCUCCUACGGGAGGCAGCAGUGGGGAAUAUUGGACAAUGGGCGCAAGCCUGAUCCAGCCAUACCGCGUGGGUGAAGAAGGCCUUCGGGUUGUAAAGCCCUUUUGUUGGGAAAGAAAAGCAGCAGGUUAAUACCCCGCUGUUCUGACGGUACCCAAAGAAUAAGCACCGGCUAACUUCGUG
rnacentral:rRNA from 1 species